UGCUGGCCGAGGACCCCUGAGCGAUGA
rnacentral:piRNA from 1 species